rnacentral:lncRNA from 1 species
GAACUUGUGGCUGAUGCCAUGUGGCAGAAAGGACCUUCAUCUUGUGUUCUCAGCUCCUGAAAGACCCUCUCUCUUGAGCUGUCCUGGGAGCCAUUUGUGAGAAGAAGGUCAAGGGUGAGGCAGCGACAAUGAGGAUCUUCCUGCAUUUUCAGGGCCCAGUUCAGCUUGCUGCCACCUCUCCCAGCCUGAGCACGCGGUGGGUGCUGAGAUGCAGCAGUCUCUGAUAUCAGCUUUACUGAAUGAAGCAAAUAAACUUGAAGAAAGAGAAGUUGUGAUGUGAAGAGCUCUAUAAUACAGUGAGUGUAAUCUGGAGACUGGUGGCUAUCAUGGGUUAUCCAGACCAUUUCCAGGGAACAUU